UACGUAGGGUGCGAGCGUUGUCCGGAAUUAUUGGGCGUAAAGAGCUCGUAGGUGGUCCGUCACGUCGGGUGUGAAAGCCCCGGGGCUCAACCCCGGAGGGUCGGCCGAUACUGGCAAGCUAGAGUACAGAAGAGGUAGCUAGAAUUCCCGGGUGUAGCGGUGAAAUGCGUAGAUAUCGGGAGGAACACCUGAGGCGAAGGCGGGCUACUGGGCUGAGUACUGACGCUGAUGCGCGAAAGCCAGGGGAGCGAACGGG
rnacentral:rRNA from 1 species